rnacentral:rRNA from 1 species
AUGGACGCCUCGGCCACCGGCGCCGUCUCCAAGGUGAAGAAGUACGUGGUGGGGCGCAAGCUUGGCGGCGGCCCUAGGAAGAAGGCGGUGGCUCGAUCCGUCAAGGCCGGGCUGCAGUUCCCCGUCGGCCGCAUCGGCCGCUUCCUCAAGAAGGGUCGCUACGCGCAGCGCGUCGGCAUGGGCGCCCCCGUCUACCUCGCCUCCGUCCUCGAGUACCUCGCCGCCGAGCUUCUAGAGCUCGCCGGGAACGCCGCCAAGGACAACAAGAAGUCCCGCAUCAUCCCGCGCCACCUGCUGCCCGCCAUCCGGAACGACCAGGAGCUCGGCAAGCUGCUCGCCGGCGUCACCAUCGCGCACGGCGGCGUGCUGCCCAACAUCAACCCCGUGUUGCUCCCCAAGAAGACGGCUGAGAAGGAGCCCAAGUCGCCCAAGAAGGCCGCCAAGUCCCCCAAGAAGGCUUAG